rnacentral:tRNA from 1 species
GGAGAGGUGUCCGAGCUGGCCGAAGGAGCACGCCUGGAAAGUGUGUAGGGGUGAAAGCCCCUCCUGGGUUCGAAUCCCAGCCUCUCCGCCA